rnacentral:lncRNA from 1 species
UGCCUCCUGCGGCUAAUCUGGAGGGGCCUCCCGAAGAACUCCUGGACUCAAGCAAUCCACCUGUCUCAGCCUCCCAAAGUGCUGGGAUUACAGAUGUGAGCCACCAUGCUCAGUCUUCCCUCUAUUUAGACUGGAGUGCAAUGGUGCGAUCUCAGCUCACCACAACCUCUGCCUCCUGGGUUCAAGAAAUUCACCUGCCUCAGCCUACUGAGUAGUUGGGAUUACAGGCAUGUGCCACCAUGCCCGGCCCCGGCUAAUUUUGUAUUUAUAG